rnacentral:lncRNA from 1 species
CUUCAGGGGAGCACAACCUAGGCACCCCCCACACCCCAGUCCUCUCUCCUCACAGCAGACUGACUGUGCAGAACCAAGUUUACUCUUUAGCUCACAGGCUGGCUCCCAUGCCCUCCCACAGAAACACGGAAUAUUAUCCUAGUUCCCACAAACACCUCGAAACAGUGGACAAGUCAUUUUUCUUGCUGUUUUACUGCAACAGCUGUGGCCCGCUCCUGGCAUUUCAAGUGCCAUGCAUGGGCCUGAGAUGACAAAUUCAACAAGCAAGUGAGAAAGGGAAUGGCAAACCAGGAGUGAGAAGAUGGAUUUCAUGCUUUAGCAAGACAUGAGGGCUUGCAGGGUUUUU